rnacentral:misc_RNA from 1 species
AAGUCGUAACAAGGUCUUCGUAGGUGAACCUGCGAAGGGAUCAUUAACACGUUCCAAACCAAAUUAUCAACCCAUCUGUGAACUUUUGUUACCGCCGAUAUGGCUAACUGUGAGUGUAUGGCGCAUACGACUUCGACUCAAUGAUGAAGCAUGGAACGAGAGUUCCAUGCACGGUCUAGUAUGCCUUCAGUGUUCGCAAGAGCAGCUAUCCUCAUGGUUGGUCCGGCCCUAUAUAUGCGCUUCGGCAGCCGUCAUCUGCUGUCGAUUCUCAUAUCACACACGCCCUGUGGCUCGUAUGCUGCGUAAUAGCAGCCUACCAGGCACACUAUAUCAAUUUAUCCUCAAACUGCUAUGUCGACGUCCAGUCGAUGUAUGCUAAACUAAACUAACAGUGAACAACUCUUAGCAAUGGAUAUCUUGGUUCUC